rnacentral:rRNA from 1 species
AUUGAACGCUGGCGGCAGGCCUAACACAUGCAAGUCGAGCGGAUGAAGGGAGCUUGCUCCUGGAUUCAGCGGCGGACGGGUGAGUAAUGCCUAGGAAUCUGCCUGGUAGUGGGGGAUAACGUCCGGAAACGGGCGCUAAUACCGCAUACGUCCUGAGGGAGAAAGUGGGGGAUCUUCGGACCUCACGCUAUCAGAUGAGCCUAGGUCGGAUUAGCUAGUUGGUGGGGUAAAGGCCUACCAAGGCGACGAUCCGUAACUGGUCUGAGAGGAUGAUCAGUCACACGGGAACUGAGACACGGUACAGACUCCUACGGGAGGCAGCAGUGGGGAAUAUUGGACGAUGGGCGAAAGCCUGAUCCAGCCAUGCCGCGUGUGUGAAGAAGGUCUUCGGAUUGUAAAGCACUUUAAGUUGGGAGGAAGGGCAGUAAGUUAAUACCUUGCUGUUUUGACGUUACCAACAGAAUAAGCACCGGCUAACUUCGUG